AUGAGCAUAGACGUAUCAGAUAAGAAGAUUUUUCAGCUCAAAAGAUUAUGGAAGCACAACAAGAUAAGCAAGGUCCACCUGAGCAACAACAUUAUUUUUGAGAAGGGUUGUAUGACAUGUCUCUUUCUUGUACAGUACGAGCAUCAUGUUGCUCGCCGAUUAUGGCAUGAAAAGUGGUAUUCAGAGACAUCGUCAUUUCAUAUUGUUGUACUUCGAAAUUCGUCAUUUUCAAUCUAA